GGUUUCAAUCAGCUUUUUCACCACUUUGACUGAAAGACCUGACAAGAACAAAUUAAGAGGAGGAAAAGUUUAUUUCAAGGCUCACAGUUGCAGAGGUCUCAGUUUAUAGACAGCUGGAUGCAUUCUUGGGGAGCAAAGUGAGACAGAACAUCAUGGCAGAAGGGCAUGGAGGAGGAAAGCAGUUCAGGACAUGGAACCAGGAAGCAGAGAGAGAGUGCCACUCAAUAGGGACAAAAUAUAAACCUAAAGGGCACACAUGCAGGGACCCACCUCCUCCAGCCACACCUACCUGUCCGCAGUUACCACCCAGAUAAUCCCUCUCAGGGAAUUAACACUGAUAGGUUAGGGCUCUCAGAAACCAAUCACUUCACCUGUAAACUCUCACACAUGAGCUUUUGGGAACACCUCACAUCUCGGCCAUGACUAGGACUCUCUGGAGAACGCAUCAGGUAUUUCAGCAGUGUCCUUGACACCUCAUUGCCACUGCUGAUGAGGUGUCAGUCAUGAACGUUUAGGUCAUCUGCCUCUGCCCAGCACUCUGCUGUCACUUGUUGCUUUACAGAUGAUUCUGAAACACAGCUCAGUACAGUAAGCACUUAUCCUCUCACACUGAUGCUGGGCCAGGAGCCCGGGGUCAGCCUGGCCAGGUGGCUUUGGAUCAGAGUCUCCCAGGAUGUUGCCUAGGCUGCGGCUUCACUGGGCUGGGGAUCCACCUCCUGCACCCACCAUCACACACCUAGAAGUCAGCGCCCUUGGUGGCAGGAGGACUUAGGAAUGCCACCUGGACUCCACCAAGGGCAGCCCAGUGCUCCAACAUGGCAGCUGCUCCCCUAGAGUUGGGCUCCCCUAGAGUUGGGUGGGGGAUGUUGGAGGAGAAGGGAGGCAGAGAGAGGAAGAGGGGUGCGAAAGGGGAUCUUUCUUGACCUGGACAGACCUGGAAGUCAGGCGCCUUCACAGCAUUGUGUCAGUUAGAAGCAGGGCUCUGAGCAGAGCUACUGUGAGAAGCAACGGAGCUGGCCUCUGCCUUUUCAAGUGAGGAGCAUAAGGAGCUUGUAGCAUCUUUUAAAAGUGCUGUAACAAUGGGAAGUUUGGGGCCUGACGUUGGAGAUGUUUGAUAUGCACAGAUGACCCUAGAAGCAGGUGUGAUUCUGGGCCUGACGUCUCUGGCUGUAUCUGCAGUGGACCCCGAGGUAGUUUAGGUGACUGCCAGUGCUGCUGAAGCCCCAGGAGAGGCAGAGUGGCUGCUCAUGGCUCAUGUGUCCCUGUUUCUUUGCAGAUCUCAGUGCUCUUUGGUGGAGCCUUUCCCAGGAGAAGCAGCUGUUGGUCUCACAGUUUCUGUAUGUCCCAAGCCCCUCUCAUCCAGCUGGUCAGAGCAGGGCAGCUGUUGGCAGAGUGGAAAGAGCCAGAUUUGAGGGGAAGCUUCUAGCACAGGUUCACUAAAAUCAAAUAAAUUUGUUCCCCACUCUGUUAUCAUUUUCCUCCAGUGAUCUUGGAGGAAGGAGGAAUUGACGUAGGGUAGGCCCGGCCUGAUUGUGCUAAGCGUAGCAGCAGCUGAAAACGCAUAUCUGGCAUAGCUAAGUAAUUAGACCACAUUUCUCUCAUUUUGUAAAAAAUAAAUAAAUAAUAAUAAAAUAAAAAUGAC
rnacentral:lncRNA from 1 species